UACGUAGGGGGCUAGCGUUGUCCGGAAUCAUUGGGCGUAAAGAGCGCGCAGGCGGUCGUAUAAGUCGCGUGUGAAAGCCCCCGGCUCAACUGGGGAGGGUCACGCGAUACUGUUCGACUCGAAGGCAGGAGAGGGAAGUGGAAUUCCCGGUGUAGUGGUGAAAUGCGUAGAUAUCGGGAGGAACACCAGUGGCGAAGGCGACUUCCUGGCCUGUUCUUGACGCUGAGGCGCGAAAGCUAGGGUAGCAAACGGGG
rnacentral:rRNA from 1 species